rnacentral:rRNA from 1 species
GAUGAACGCUGGCGGCGUGCCUAAUACAUGCAAGUCGAGCGAACAGACGAGGAGCUUGCUCCUCUGACGUUAGCGGCGGACGGGUGAGUAACACGUGGAUAACCUACCUAUAAGACUGGGAUAACUUCGGGAAACCGGAGCUAAUACAGGAUAAUAUAUUGAACAGCAUGGUUCAAUAGUGAAAGACGGUUUUGCUGUCACUUAUAGAUGGAUCCGCGCCGCAUUAGCUAGUUGGUAAGGUAACGGCUUACCAAGGCGACGAUGCGUAGCCGACCUGAGAGGGUGAUCGGCCACACUGGAACUGAGACACGGUCCAGACUCCUACGGGAGGCAGCAGUAGGGAAUCUUCCGCAAUGGGCGAAGGCCUGACGGAGCAACGCCGCGUGAGUGAUGAGGGUCUUCGGAUCGUAAAACUCUGUUAUUAGGGAGGAACAAAUGUGUAAGUAACUAUGCACGUCUUGACGGUACCUAAUCAGAAAGCCACGGCUAACUACGUG